rnacentral:rRNA from 1 species
GAUGAACGCUGGCGGCGUGCCUAAUACAUGCAAGUCGAGCGAACGGACGAGAAGCUUGCUUCUCUGAUGUUAGCGGCGGACGGGUGAGUAACACGUGGAUAACCUACCUAUAAGACUGGGAUAACUUCGGGAAACCGGAGCUAAUACCGGAUAAUAUUUUGAACCGCAUGGUUCAAAAGUGAAAGACGGUCUUGCUGUAACUUAUAGAUGGAUCCGCGCUGCAUUAGCUAGUUGGUAAGGUAACGGCUUACCAAGGCAACGAUGCAUAGCCGACCGGAGAGGGUGAUCGGCCACACUGGAACUGAGACACGGUCCAGACUCCUACGGGAGGCAGCAGUAGGGAAUCUUCCGCAAUGGGCGAAAGCCUGACGGAGCAACGCGGCGUGAGUGAUGAAGGUCUUCGGAUCGUAAAACUCUGUUAUUAGGGAAGAACAUAUGUGUAAGUAACUGUGCACAUCUUGACGGUACCUAAUCAGAAAGCCACGGCUAACUACGUG